GCCGCGAUUCGCCGAAGCGGUUUUGGGAUGGUUGUGUGAGUGCAAAGUGUCAAAAUCUCGUCACAACUCAGGACCUCUCAGGACGGUGAAGGAUCCGGGCAUUCCAAGUUAUCUUUGGUCCGUUUCUUGCGUAAAAAUGUGGUCCUUCACCCAAAAUCCUCUUCCCGAGCCGUAGCAGAUUCUUCAAGGCAAGCUCCCCCACUGGAGGCAGCAGAAGCAGCCGCUGCUGUUAAACUAACCGUACCUCGACACGUACAAUUUUCUUGAAGUGGUUGCACUUUUUCUUUUCUCCAGCUGGAGGGGGAAGGCGACGCGGACUUUUCUUUGGGCAAAAUUUUUCCUGCUGCUUCUUAUGAGAGAGCUGCCCCCAGUAUGACGAAAAGGAAACUACCUCCAGUUGAUUUGGAAUCGGCAAGUGUCCGGUAGCUGGUGGCGGCCGCUACCUAUCAGAAAUAAGGCCACGCUCCAGCACCACGAUGACCAGCACCGCAGUUGGUUGAUGGCAACGUCGCGAUGACCAGGCCGUUGCUGGGAAACCUGCUGCAGAACGAGAGCGUCAGUUCACUUAAGUCCGGCAGCUGAAGAACCAAAACCCCAGGAACCAGGAUCCGGAAAAGGACCAGCUGCCUGAUGCAAACUACCUGGAGAAACUCCGCGAAACGACUAGAUUCUGCCAGCCAAAAAAGAUGGAGUGUCGAAACUGAAGGUCAUGGAGCUGCGGGAGAAGGCCGAUCUGUCAACUCGCGGUUGCCCCAAUGAGCGAGGUCGAGUGGAAGUCGUGCAGAUGACGAAGAUUGGAGCCGACGGUUCUACGAGCAGAUUCCGGGUGGUGACUCCAGAAUGUUCCCGAGACGGUAGCGCAUCAUUUUGGUCACUUCUUUCAUUGUAAAAUCUUUUUAUGACAUUAAAACUAACUAUGGGGUUUAUGUGGUUUGGGGCUUUGUUUUCAUUGUUUGCAUUUUAAAUAAAAUGUUUUAAACCUUAAAAA